CCCGCGACAAGCGAUGGAGCAUGUGGUUUAAUUCGAAGCAACGCGAAGAACCUUACCAGGUCUUGACAUCCCGAUGCUAUUCUAGAGAUAGAAAGUUACUUCGGUACAUCGGUGACAGGUGGUGCAUGGUUGUCGUCAGCUCGUGUCGUGAGAUGUUGGGUUAAGUCCCGCAACGAGCGCAACCCUCGCCUCUAGUUGCCAGCAUUCGGUUGGGCACUCUAGAGGGACUGCCGGCGACAAGUCGGAGGAAGUGGGGAUGACGUCAAAUCAUCAUGCCCCUUAUGACCUGGGCUACACACGUGCUACAAUGGGCGGUACAAAGGGCUGCGAACCCGCGAGGGGGAGCGAAUCCCAAAAAGCCGCUCUCAGUUCGGAUUGCAGGCUGCAACUCGCCUGCAUGAAGCCGGAAUCGCUAGUAAUCGCGGAUCAGCAUGCCGCGGUGAAUACGUUCCCGGGCCUU
rnacentral:rRNA from 1 species